rnacentral:rRNA from 1 species
GCUGUUUAGCUACGUGCGGAUGGGAUAAGCGCUGAAAGCAUCUAAGUGCGAAGCCCACCUGAAGAUGAGAUCUCUCACCGGGUUAACCGGGUAAGGCCCCUUGCUAGACGACAAGGUUGAUAGGCCGGAGCUGUAAGCACAGCAAUGUGUUCAGGCGACCGGUACUAAUAGGCCGAGGACUUGGUUUU